GAAAGGGUGAGUAACACGUGGGCAAUCUGCCCUUCACUCUGGGACAAGCCCUGGAAACGGGGUCUAAUACCGGAUACGACCUCCGACCGCAUGGUCUGGUGGUGGAAAGCUCCGGCGGUGAAGGAUGAGCCCGCGGCCUAUCAGCUUGUUGGUGGGGUGAUGGCCUACCAAGGCGACGACGGGUAGCCGGCCUGAGAGGGCGACCGGCCACACUGGGACUGAGACACGGCCCAGACUCCUACGGGAGGCAGCAGUGGGGAAUAUUGCACAAUGGGCGAAAGCCUGAUGCAGCGACGCCGCGUGAGGGAUGACGGCCUUCGGGUUGUAAACCUCUUUCAGCAGGGAAGAAGCGAGAGUGACGGUACCUGCAGAAGAAGCGCCGGCUAACUACGUGCCAGCAGCCGCGGUAAUACGUAGGGCGCAAGCGUUGUCCGGAAUUAUUGGGCGUAAAGAGCUCGUAGGCGGCUUGUCACGUCGGAUGUGAAAGCCCGGGGCUUAACCCCGGGUCUGCAUUCGAUACGGGCAGGCUAGAGUUCGGUAGGGGAGAUCGGAAUUCCUGGUGUAGCGGUGAAAUGCGCAGAUAUCANGANNNACACCGGUGGCGAANGCGGAUCUCUGGGNCGAUACUGACNCUGAGNANCNAAA
rnacentral:rRNA from 1 species